ACCUAGCCGACACAAAAGUAUUUCAAUGGUGAAGACACUAGCAACUAAUCCUACAUCAUGAAGAUUAUAUUGGAUUCACUAAUUUUGCAGCGAUUUUUAUAAGGCGUGGCGAAUGCACACAAAUGACAUUGAUACCGUUAAAGCCAGUGUGAACCGCCAACUGCCAAGACCGUUAUGCAUUUUUCGCGUGCCAAUACGACGGCCCCUAUAAAAUCCAUUUCUCCGUUGUCUCAGGAGCCAUCACGCUAUUACAUUCUUCAUUUCUCCGGCCCCCGUUUUCUCCCAACAAACGCUAACAACUGAGAUUCACCGGCAAAAAUGGCGGACCUCGAUGUUUCUCAGAAUGGGGCUUUUCUCACUGUUACUCAUAAUCAAUCGGCUCUGAUCUUCUUAGGAACUGGCUGUUCCAGCGCCGUCCCCAAUGCAAUGUGCUUGAUCCAGUCCUCUGAUCCCCCUUGCCGCAUCUGUUCCCAGGCCCUCUCCAUUCCACCUGAGAAAAACCCUAAUUACAGGUGCAAUACGUCUCUUCUCAUUGACUAUUGCCAACCGGAUGGCAGCCAUCGUUAUAUUUUAAUUGAUGUAGGGAAAACAUUUAGGGAGCAAGUACUACGAUGGUUUACCUACCAUAGGAUUCCUAGAGUGGAUUCAAUUAUUUUGACUCAUGAACAUGCUGAUGCGAUUCUUGGGCUGGAUGAUAUACGUGCAGUGCAACCUUUUAGCCCUGUAAAUGAUAUUGAUCCCACACCAAUUUACCUCAGUCAGCAUUCAAUGGAAAGCAUUUCAGUGAAGUUUCCUUACCUAGUCCAGAAAAAGCUUAAAGAAGGCCAAGAAGUAAGACGUGUGGCACAGCUUGACUGGAAGAUAAUUGAGGAUCAUCAUGAGAAACCUUUUGUUGCAUCAGGCUUACAAUUUACUCCUUUGCCUGUUAUGCAUGGAGAAGAUUAUAUAUGUCUGGGGUUUCUAUUUGGUGAAAAAUAUAGAGUAGCUUAUAUUUCUGACGUUUCACGAAUUCCUGCAAAUACGGAACAUGUUAUUUCAAAAAAUGGAGCUGGACAAUUGGAUCUUCUUAUCUUGGACACAUUGUAUAAGAAUGGAUCCCACAACACUCACUUUUGCUUCCCACAGACCCUGGAUGCUGUGAGGAGGCUAAAUCCAAAACGAGCCAUGUUAAUUGGAAUGACGCAUGAAUUUGAUCACCAUAAGGACAACGACUUCCUGCUUGACUGGUCCAAAAGGGAAGGAAUUCCAGUGCAGCUUGCACACGACGGUUUAAGAAUUCCUGUAGGCCUCUAAACAGGUCUAUACAAAUCAUGAGUCAAUACCUGAUUGAUAUAAAAGAUUACAUCCCAUGUGUUUUGGGAGGAUACAAUACAUUCUUUCUGAAACUUAACCGCAAAUUUGACGGCUAUAGCUAUAGGGGUAAAGAAACUUUUACACACUUUAUUAUUGAGAGUGAUGGGAUCAGAAUGGCAAGGCGAUUAAGAAGAAGUUAGGUGAGGCAGAAAGCGAGCAGUUCGUUGUGGAAUUAGAAUUGUAAACGUUCAAUGAAUACUUCAAAACCUGUACAAAUUUUAGUGGCGAUGUAUAUCUGGUUGAACGCAGUUUCUUCCAUGCUUUGCUUGUUCUUUGUUUAAGAAUUUGGGAUCCUUGAGUUUUGAAUGCAAAAAGACAUGAAACAAGACCUAUAUUACUCAAUCCACUUAGCUGUGAGAAAUUUGUUACU